CAAAAUUAGGUAAGCUUUGGGGUUUCAAUUGCAAACAAUCAACCUAAAAUAUUUAUUUUUUAGAACCAUAUACUAGUUAUGCAAUAAGCGUUGUUACGUAUAACAACAUGGGCGUAGGACAAGAAGUGACCGUUAAGGUGACGACUACUGGAGUAUGAACUGUGAAGGUAAUAUUAAUAUAUAAUUAUGAUCAGAUAGAAUACGUAUCAAUUUUGACAAUAUGUGCUAAAUGAUUAACUAGAUUUACCGAAUAAUAUGUUAAACUGGCAGUUGGCGCAUAAAUGCGAGCUUAGAUUCCGCAGCGAUUUAUAAUAUUCUCUCUCAUACAAAGUUGAGCGUUUUUGAAUUGAGCUGUUCAGUUUGUGAAACAAAAACAAACUGUUUAAAAACAACUGCCAUGUUUUUUGACUUGGUGCUACCCAAACAUACCGCUCAAAUGACAACACACAGUGACAGAAUUACAGCACAGACAAACGGAAGAACACUAAGCACUGAUGAAUGCACAAAUAAUUAAUACAGUAUUUGUUACAUGUGAACCACAGAAUAACACACGAACACAUUCCAUUAACCAAAGCACAGGACAUCACAAACAGUGACGUGUUAUAGUUAUAAUCUUGAAAUUUAUCUAAUUUGUUUAACAUUACUAUUCUAAACAGUUAGCUUGAUUGAAAAUACGAUAAUUAUAGGCUAUUUCAAAACAGAAAUGCUGCGACGACGUCUAAUUGUUAGGACCAAUACAAUGCUUUGACCAUGAAAAAUGGAAAUUAACACGACCAAUCUUACAAAUACGAAUAUGUGAAAUGAACCUUAGCUACAGAUUUAAAACCGCAAAAGAUAAGACUUUAACAAUACAUAUCCAAGUGAUUAUAUCUAACCGUAACCACAACAGAAACAUCAUCAACAAAUAUUGGUUGAAUAAAUACCGAUACACGUCGAAGAGCGAUACAAAUUCACACUUGUCAAAACUUCAUAUUUGGGAUUAGGUCACUGGAGUAUACAUUCAUGAAUGAUUUGUCACUGGACGUAAUGCAAUAAACCAUCAUUAAAUUAGAACUUCCAUUUUUCAGGUGUACCAUGGCGUAGUGAUGAAAAGUGCAACCAGCCAGAAAAAGUCGUAAACGCCGUUUGAUGUAUUAUGUGAUCAAUCGUGCUAAAUUUUGAAAAUAAAUAAAUUGCUCAUAUCGUUUCGUUGCGGUAUUACCAAAAUG
rnacentral:lncRNA from 1 species